AAGGCUGAAAUUCGCCUUCAUGAAGCUGGAAUUGCUAGUAAUGGCAGGUCAGCAUACUGCCGUGAAUACGUUCCCGGGCCUUGUACACACCGCCCGUCACACCAUGAGAGUUGGGAAUACCCGAAGCCUGUGAGCUAACUUAUAGAGGCAGCAGUCGAAGGUAGAAUCAAUGAUUGGGGUGAAGUCGUAACAAGGUAAC
rnacentral:rRNA from 1 species